UACGAAGGGGGCUAGCGUUGUUCGGAAUUACUGGGCGUAAAGCGCGCGUAGGCGGUUUUGCAAGCCAGAGGUGGAAUGCCUGAGCUCAACUUAGGAAUUGCCUUUGGGACUGCGAGGCUUUGAGGACUGGAGAGGUGAGUGGAAUUCCCAGUGUAGAGGUGAAAUUCGUAGAUAUUGGGAAGAACACCGGUGGCGAAGGCGGCUCACUGGCCAGUUUCUGACGCUGCAGCGCGAAAGCUAGGGGAGCAAACAGG
rnacentral:rRNA from 1 species